GCCUGAAUCAGUGUGUGUGUUAGUGGAAGCGUCUGGAAAGGCGCGCGAUACAGGGUGACAGCCCCGUACACAAAAAUGCACAUACUGUGAGCUCGAUGAGUAGGGCGGGACACGUGGUAUCCUGUCUGAAUAUGGGGGGACCAUCCUCCAAGGCUAAAUACUCCUGACUGACCGAUAGUGAACCAGUACCGUGAGGGAAAGGCGAAAAGAACCCCGGCGAGGGGAGUGAAAAAGAACCUGAAACCGUGUACGUACAAGCAGUGGGAGCCUCUUUAUGGGGUGACUGCGUACCUUUUGUAUAAUGGGUCAGCGACUUAUAUUCUGUAGCAAGGUUAACCGAAUAGGGGAGCCGAAGGGAAACCGAGUCUUAACUGGGCGUUAAGUUGCAGGGUAUAGACCCGAAACCCGGUGAUCUAGCCAUGGGCAGGUUGAAGGUUGGGUAACACUAACUGGAGGACCGAACCGACUAAUGUUGAAAAAUUAGCGGAUGACUUGUGGCUGGGGGUGAAAGGCCAAUCAAACCGGGAGAUAGCUGGUUCUCCCCGAAAGCUAUUUAGGUAGCGCCUCGUGAAUUCAUCUCCGGGGGUAGAGCACUGUUUCGGCAAGGGGGUCAUCCCGACUUACCAACCCGAUGCAAACUGCGAAUACCGGAGAAUGUUAUCACGGGAGACACACGGCGGGUGCUAACGUCCGUCGUGAAGAGGGAAACAACCCAGACCGCCAGCUAAGGUCCCAAAGUCAUGGUUAAGUGGGAAACGAUGUGGGAAGGCCCAGACAGCCAGGAUGUUGGCUUAGAAGCAGCCAUCAUUUAAAGAAAGCGUAAUAGCUCACUGGUCGAGUCGGCCUGCGCGGAAGAUGUAACGGGGCUAAACCAUGCACCGAAGCUGCGGCAGCGACACUAUGUGUUGUUGGGUAGGGGAGCGUUCUGUAAGCCUGUGAAGGUGUACUGUGAGGUAUGCUGGAGGUAUCAGAAGUGCGAAUGCUGACAUAAGUAACGAUAAAGCGGGUGAAAAGCCCGCUCGCCGGAAGACCAAGGGUUCCUGUCCAACGUUAAUCGGGGCAGGGUGAGUCGACCCCUAAGGCGAGGCCGAAAGGCGUAGUCGAUGGGAAACAGGUUAAUAUUCCUGUACUUGGUGUUACUGCGAAGGGGGGACGGAGAAGGCUAUGUUGGCCGGGCGACGGUUGUCCCGGUUUAAGCGUGUAGGCUGGUUUUCCAGGCAAAUCCGGAAAAUCAAGGCUGAGGCGUGAUGACGAGGCACUACGGUGCUGAAGCAACAAAUGCCCUGCUUCCAGGAAAAGCCUCUAAGCAUCAGGUAACAUUAAAUCGUACCCCAAACCGACACAGGUGGUCAGGUAGAGAAUACCAAGGCGCUUGAGAGAACUCGGGUGAAGGAACUAGGCAAAAUGGUGCCGUAACUUCGGGAGAAGGCACGCUGAUAUGUAGGUGAAGCGACUUGCUCGUGGAGCUGAAAUCAGUCGAAGAUACCAGCUGGCUGCAACUGUUUAUUAAAAACACAGCACUGUGCAAACACGAAAGUGGACGUAUACGGUGUGACGCCUGCCCGGUGCCGGAAGGUUAAUUGAUGGGGUUAGCGGUAACGCGAAGCUCUUGAUCGAAGCCCCGGUAAACGGCGGCCGUAACUAUAACGGUCCUAAGGUAGCGAAAUUCCUUGUCGGGUAAGUUCCGACCUGCACGAAUGGCGUAAUGAUGGCCAGGCUGUCUCCACCCGAGACUCAGUGAAAUUGAACUCGCUGUGAAGAUGCAGUGUACCCGCGGCAAGACGGAAAGACCCCGUGAACCUUUACUAUAGCUUGACACUGAACAUUGAGCCUUGAUGUGUAGGAUAGGUGGGAGGCUUUGAAGUGUGGACGCCAGUCUGCAUGGAGCCGGCCUUGAAAUACCACCCUUUAAUGUUUGAUGUUCUAACGUUGGCCCCUGACCGGGGUUGCGGACAGUGUCUGGUGGGUAGUUUGACUGGGGCGGUCUCCUCCUAAAGAGUAACGGAGGAGCACGAAGGUUGGCUAAUCCUGGUCGGACAUCAGGAGGUUAGUGCAAUGGCAUAAGCCAGCUUGACUGCGAGCGUGACGGCGCGAGCAGGUGCGAAAGCAGGUCAUAGUGAUCCGGUGGUUCUGAAUGGAAGGGCCAUCGCUCAACGGAUAAAAGGUACUCCGGGGAUAACAGGCUGAUACCGCCCAAGAGUUCAUAUCGACGGCGGUGUUUGGCACCUCGAUGUCGGCUCAUCACAUCCUGGGGCUGAAGUAGGUCCCAAGGGUAUGGCUGUUCGCCAUUUAAAGUGGUACGCGAGCUGGGUUUAGAACGUCGUGAGACAGUUCGGUCCCUAUCUGCCGUGGGCGCUGGAGAACUGAGGGGGGCUGCUCCUAGUACGAGAGGACCGGAGUGGACGCAUCACUGGUGUUCGGGUUGUCAUGCCAAUGGCACUGCCCGGUAGCUAAAUGCGGAAGAGAUAAGUGCUGAAAGCAUCUAAGCACGAAACUUGCCCCGAGAUGAGUUCUCCCUGACUCCUUGA
rnacentral:rRNA from 1 species